AGGUGGAUGCAGUAUGUUAUGAUGGAUGAUGCAGUUCUCAUGAAGGUGGAUGCAGUGUCCCUGCAGUGCUUGCAGUGCCCCCCACAUUGUCCGGGAAUGUGGAUGCAGUAGUCAUGCAGUGGAUGCAGUGUCCCACAAGAUGGAUGCAGUAUCUUGUGAUUGAAGAUGCAGUGCCCAGGAAGGUGGAUGCAGUGAGCCUGUGUUGAAUCCAGUGCACCUGAAGUGCGAAUUAAGAUGGAUGCUGUGUCCCUGCAGUGUUUGCAGUGUGCACUGCAUUGUCAGAGUUCGUGGUUGCAGUGCCCAGGCAGUGGAUGCAGUGUCCCACAAGGUGCAUGCAGUAUGUUGUGACGGAGGAUACAGUGCCCAAGAAGCUGGAUGCAGUGAUCCGGCAGUGGUUGCAGUGCACCCUGUUGUGUCCCUGAAUGUGGAUACUGUGAACAUCCAGUGGAUGCAGUGAUCCUCCAGUGAUUGCAGUCUGCCUGCAUUUCCACAUCAGCUGGAAGCAGUGUCCCUGCAGGGGUUGCAGUGUCAACUUCUGUGUCCCUGAAGGUGAAUGCAGUACCUAUGCAGUGGAUUCAGUUUACCUAAAGGUUUAUGAAGUGUGUUGUGAGGGAGGAUGCAGUGCCCAUGAAGGUGGAUGCAGUGUCCCUGCAGUGGGUGCAAUGCCCCCUGCAUUGUCCUGGAAUGUUAAUGCAUUGCUCAUGCAGUGGAUGCAGAGUCCCACAAUGUGGAGGCAUUGUGGUGAGUGUAGUAUGUAGUGCAGAUUAAUGUGAAUGCAGUGAUCCUACAGUGAUGGCAGUGUGCCUGCAGUGCCAAUUCAGCUGAAUAUAGUGUUUCUGCAGUGGUUGCAGUGACCCUGCAUUGUCUGGGAAUGUGGAUGCAGUGCCCAGGCAAUGGAUGCAGUGUCCCACAAGGUGGAUGCAGUAUGUUGUGAUUGAGGAUGCAGUGCCCACGAAGGUGGAUGCAGUGAGCCUACAGUGAUUGCAGUGUGCCUGCAGUGCCACUUCUGCGGGAAGCAGUGUUGCUGCAGUGGUUUCAGAGCCAAAUGCAG
rnacentral:lncRNA from 1 species